rnacentral:rRNA from 1 species
CCUACGGGAGGCAGCAGUGAGGAAUAUUGGUCAAUGGCCGGAAGGCUGAACCAGCCAAGCCGCGUGAAGGACGAAGGUGCCAAGCAUUGUAAACUUCUUUUGUCAAGGGACAAAAUCAUGCUCGAGAGCCUGACCGAGGGUACUUGAAGAAACAGCAUCGGCUAACUCCGUGCCAGCAGCCGCGGUAAUACGGAGGAUGCGAGGGUUAUCCGGAUUUAUUGGGUUUAAAGGGUGCGUAGGCGGAAGGUUAAGUCAGCGGUAAAACCCCGGGGCUCAACCCCGGGGUGCCGGUGAAACUGGCGGUCUGGAGAUGUCGAGAGGUAUGCGGAAUGCGCAGUGUAGCGGUGAAAUGCUUAGAUAUUGCGCAGAACUCCGAUUGCGAAGGCAGCAUACCGGCGGCGAGCUGACGCUGAGGCACGGAAGCGUGGGGAUCGAACAGGAUUAGAUACCCGAGUAGUC